CCGGGCGCAAAGCGCGAUGAGGGGAUCCCAAGGGCCAGCUCGUAAAAGUUGGCUGUUUCUCUGUCUCCCCAUAAAAGAGAGUAAGGGCUGGGUAAGAGGGGUGCCAGCCCCCGCGGUAAUACCUGCAGCUCGAGUGGUGGCCGCUAUUAUUGGGCCUAAAACGUCCGUAGCCGGUUUUAUAAAUGCCUGGGUAAAUCGUGUGGCUUAACCAUACGAAUUCCGGGUAGACUGUUAAACUUGAGACCGGGAGAGGCUAGAGGUACUCCUGGGGUAGAGGUGAAAUUCUGUAAUCCUGGGGGGACCACCAGUGGCGAAGGCGUCUAGCUAGAACGGGUCUGACGGUGAGGGACGAAGCCCUGGGGCGCAAACCGGAUUAGAUACCCGGGUAGUCCAGGGUGUAAACGCUGCUUGCUUGAUGUUAGUUGGGCUCCGAGCCCAACUAGUGUCGGAGAGAAGUUGUUAAGCAAGCUGCCUGGGGAGUACGGUCGCAAGACUGAAACUUAAAGGAAUUGGCGGGGGA
rnacentral:rRNA from 1 species